GAGGAAUAUUGGGCAAUGCCCGCAAGGGUGACCCAGCAACGCCGCGUGGAGGAUGAAUGUCGUAAGAUUGUAAACUCCUGUUAGAGGGGAAGAAUAGUACCGGUUGGACCGGUAUAUGACUGUACCCUCAGAGAAAGCCCCGGCUAACUACGUGCCAGCAGCCGCGGUAAUACGUAGGGGGCAAGCGUUGUCCGGAUUUACUGGGUGUAAAGGGUGCGCAGGCGGAUGGGUAAGUCAGGGGUGAAAGUCUGCAGCUUAACUGUAGAAUUGCCUUUGAUACUGCUCAUCUUGAGUGUGGGAGAGGUUGAUGGAAUUCCAGGUGUAGCAGUGAAAUGCGUAGAUAUCUGGAAGAACACCAGUGGCGAAGGCGGUCAACUGGCCCAUAACUGACGCUCAUGCACGAAAGCGUGGGGAGCAAACA
rnacentral:rRNA from 1 species